GAGAAAUGGCUGAGUGGUCUAAAGCGGUAGUCUCGAAAACUAUUGUACCUUUAUAAGGUACCAGGGGUUCAAAUCCCCUUUUCUCC
rnacentral:tRNA from 1 species